AUCCCUUUCCUGUUCAUAAAAUGAUGAUCGAGUGUUCACAUAUUUGUGUGACAUGUGCCUCCCUUAAAACUUGUUAGGCAUUUGGCACAUUACCCAUCUAAUG